AAGCAUGUGCAGCCUAAAGAUCCUUUGAAAUAUCUAUCGUCCAUUUGAAAAAGCACAAGAAAGAAACAAGACCAACAAUAUUUGUCUGUUACCACCACCAAGAGAGUAAAUCAAAAUAAGAGUUGGAAUAAGUUAGAGCAGAAACAAGAGACCCCAGAGAACUCUGCCAAUCCAAGUAAUAUACGGUGUUAGAGAGGCCUGGAGACCUACAACAGUCUGCUUCGUCUCCAGAGUUGCCUGUGGAGAAAUUGUCAGCCACGUAGAAACCUAAUGUUACAGCAAUAGGGUACACAGAUGGUGAUGACUAAAAUAAAAUCAACAAGAUAUGAAAAAUAAAAACAAGGAAGGGCACCUCUUCUUGCUUCUCCUAUACUCCUUUCCCAUCUUUAACCAACACAAAUAUUUUGAGCACCUUUCUGUAUACCAAGCACUGUGCUACCUACUGGGAAUAGAGCAACCAACAAGACAGCUGGAAGAGAAAGGACACAGUUUAAAAAGUGAUGUGAAAGACCUUAGAGAUUGGGGUCUGUUCCCAAGGGUAAGAUUUCUCAAGGCCUUUUGCCCAGAACAUCUUCCUUUCCUCUUGAAAUCAUAAGAAAGAGAUAACUCGCACUGAGAACAAAGACCAGACAAACCUUGACAGGAGUUUCAAGAGAGGGCAUUGAGGAAGAUGAGUAAGACUGCUCAGUGUGGCUCAGGUGGUGAACUAUGCCAGCCUGAUGUCACCGAUGAAGUCACUGACCCAGGGACCACAGAGGAGAUUCUUAAGAUGACUAGGAAGUCUGAAAUCUAAGCAUAGGGACAGAUGGCCAAUGAAAAUAAUGAAUGCUUGAGACACUCAUGCAUAGAUGAACACAAGAAGCAGGGGCAGUUUUGCCUAACCCAACUCGGUUACUACAGGAAUCAGCUCUUAGUGCAUACUAAAGCAGUAUUCCAAGUGCAGGGGACUACAGGUAGACUCGACUGUUCUGAUGAGACUGCAAGAUGGGUUUCCACUCUGUGGAGUGCGGGAUAUAUAUAUAUCUAUGAAUGUGCAAAAGGAAAAUGACAAAGGUAGCUGACAGCUAAGAGAAAUAGCAGUACAAAUUAAAACAAAA
rnacentral:lncRNA from 1 species